rnacentral:misc_RNA from 1 species
GUGAUUUUCCCUUUGCUGGAAGGUGUGGACCUUGCUUCCUGCAUGGCAGUGUGCAAGCAGUGGAGAGACAUUGCGCGAGAUGAUUACUUCUGGAAAUGCUUGUGUGCCAAGAGAUGGCCUUCAACCUGCAAAACGCCCAAUCCUCCAACAGAUACCUACUACAAACUAUAUCGAAAUUUUUACAAACGCCCCAAUAAUCGGUGUCUUCUCCCUCCUCGACUUUCCUUUGAUGAUUUAGAGUUUUUUAUCGACAUUUGGAGUGAAAACAGAUUAAUCUUCUCAGAAGUGGUUUCAGGUCAAGUCCUCCAGAAUGGUAUGAAG